UUAAUUGAAGCCAAAAAGAGGCUUAUCACUGUUAAUGAUAAAAUUGAGAAUCAAACUCCAAUUAAA
rnacentral:tRNA from 1 species